GGGGUUAUAGCUCAGUGGUAGAGCAGUUGGCUUUUAACCAUUUGGUCCUGGGUUCGAGUCCCAGUAAUCCUU
rnacentral:tRNA from 1 species